rnacentral:rRNA from 1 species
GGCUGUCGUCAGCUCGUGUCGUGAGAUGUUGGAUUAAGUCCCGCAACGAGCGCAACCCUCGUCCUUAGUUGCUAACAGUUCGGCUGAGAACUCUAAGGAGACUGCCUACGCAAGUAGGAAGAAGGUGAGGACGACGUCAAGUCAUCAUGGCCCUUACGUCCAGGGCUACACACGUGCUACAAUGGGGUAUACAAAGAGCAGCAAUACGGUGACGUGGAGCAAAUCUCAAAAAUAUCUCCCAGUUCGGAUUGUAGUCUGCAACUCGACUACAUGAAGUUGGAAUCGCUAGUAAUCGUAGAUCAGCUAUGCUACGGUGAAUACGUUCCCGGGUCUUGUACACACCGCCCGU